rnacentral:tRNA from 1 species
GGCGUCAUGGAUUAGUUGGUUAAAGCGCCUGUCUAGUAAACAGGAGAUCCUGAUUUCGAAUCUCAGUGGUGCCU